rnacentral:rRNA from 1 species
GCGAGUCGAGAGGGUUCGGCCCUCGGCUGACGGCUCAGUAACACGUGGAUAAUCUGCCCUUAGGUGGAGGAUAAUCUCGGGAAACUGAGGAUAAUACUCCAUAGAUCUAGGAUGCUGGAAUGCAUCUAGAUUUAAAGCUCCGGCGCCUAAGGAUGAGUCUGCGGACUAUCAGGUUGUAGUCAGGGUAAAGACCUGACUAGCCUACGACGGAUACGGGUUGUGAGAGCAAUAACCCGGAGACGAUAUCUGAGACACGAUAUCGGGCCCUACGGGGCGCAGCAGGCGCGAAAACUUCACACUGUGCGGAAGCGCGAUGAGGGAAUCCCAAGUGUUUGCUCGUAAGAGUAAACUGUUUCUUUGUUUAAAACGCAGAGAGAGUAAGGGCUGGGCAAGACGGGUGCCAGCCGCCGCGGUAAUACCUGCAGCUCAAGUGGUGAUCAUUAUUAUUGGGCCUAAAACGUCCGUAGCCGGUUUAGUAAAUGCCUGGGUAAAUCGUGUAGCUUAACUAUACGACUUCCGGGUAGACUGCUAAACUUGAGACCGGGAGAGGCUAGAGGUACUCCUGGGGUAGAGGUAAAAUUCUGUAAUCCUAGGGGGACCACCAGUGGCGAAGGCGUCUAGCUAGAACGGGUCUGACGGUGAGGGACGAAGUCCUGGGGCACAAACCGGAUUAGAUACCCGGGUAGUCCAGGGUGUAAACGCUGCUUGCUUGAUGUUAGUUGGGCUCCGAGCCCAAC